GAUGAACGCUGGCGGCGUGCCUAAUACAUGCAAGUCGAGCGAACAGACGAGGAGCUUGUUCCUCUGACGUUAGCGGCGGACGGGUGAGUAACACGUGGAUAACCUACCUAUAAGACUGGGAUAACUUCUGGAAACCGGAGCUAAUACCGGAUAAUAUCUUUAACCGCAUGGUUCAAUAGUGAAAGACGCUUUUGCUUUCACUUAUAGAUAGAUCCGCGCCGCAUUAGCUAGUGGGUAAGGUAACGGCUUACCAAGGGGACGAUGCGUAGCCGACCUGAGAGGGUGAUCGGCAACACUGGAACUGGGACACGGUCCAGACCCCUACGGGAGGCAGAAGAAGGGAAUCUUCGGCAAUGGGCGAAAGCCUGACGGAGCACCGCCGCGGGAGUGAGGAAGGUCUUCGGAUCGUAAAACUCUGUUAUUAGGGAAGAACAAAUGUGUAGGUGAAUAUGCACGUCGUGACGGUACCUACUCAGAAAGCCACGGCUAACUACGUG
rnacentral:rRNA from 1 species